rnacentral:ncRNA from 1 species
UUUAUCUUUGUGCGCGUUGGUUACGCACAAUUGCGUUUAGGGAAUCCGGUGUAAAUCCGGAACUGUACCCGCAGCUGUAAAUUCAGAAAAUGAUCAUUUCUCACGCCACUGUCGGUUCAGCCAAUGACGGGAAGGCAAUGAUCAAAGGGAAUAAGUCAGAAGACCUGCCAGCAAAUGGAUGAACGA